CUACGGGUCGCUGCAGUGGGGAAUAUUGGACAAUGGGGGAAACCCUGAUCCAGCAAUGCCGCGUGUGUGAAGAAGGCCUGCGGGUUGUAAAGCACUUUCGGUUGGGAGGACUGCUUCUAGCACUAAUAUUGUUGGAAGUUGACGUUACCUUCAGAAGAAGCACCGGCGUAACUCCGUGCCAGCAGCCGCGGUAAUACGGAGGGUGCAAGCGUUAAUCGGAAUUACUGGGCGUAAAGCGCGCGUAGGCGGCUAGAUCAGUCGGGUGUGAAAGCCCCGGGCUUACCUGGGAACUGCAUCCGAUACUGUCUAGCUUGAGUACAGGAGAGGAGAGUGGAAUUCCACAUGUAGCGGUGAAAUGCGUAGAUAUGUGGAGGAACACCAAUGGCGAAGGCAGCUCUCUGGCCUGAUACUGACGCUGAGGUGCGAAAGCGUGGGGAGCAGACAGGAUUAGAUACCCGCGUAGUC
rnacentral:rRNA from 1 species